ensembl:lncRNA
GCCCCAAGAGGCCCACAAUAAUGACCACCAUCGUAAUGUCUGUCAUCACCCUGUCUACCAAAAAUCUGGUCCUUCCUGUGGUCCUCCCCCUCAGCAAAUGGCUCCUCAGCCCAUCAGGGUGGAAUUGUCCUUGACUCUCCCAUUUUUCUCACGCUUCACAUCCAGGUGUUUGGUAAACCUGGUUAGCUCUACCUUCUAAAUAUGCAUGGUAUCUGAUUACUUCCCAUUCACCCCACGGGUACAACCUUGAUCCUGCUGCUGCUGCUGCUGCUGCUAAGUCUCUUCACUCGUGUCUGACUCUGUGCGACCCCAUAGACCGCAGCCCACCAGGCUCCGCCGUCCCUGGGAUUCUCCAGGCGAGAACACUGGAGUGGGUUGCCAUUUCCUUCUCCAAUGCAGGAAAGUGAAAAGUGAAAGUGAAGUCGCUCAGUCAUGUCUGAUUCUUCACGACCCCAUGGACUGCAGCCCACCAGGCUCCUCCGUCCAUGCGAUUUUCCAGGCAAGAGUACUGGAUCCUAGGCAUCAUCAUUUCUCACCGGAAACACUGCCGUCACCUCCUUGCUGGCCCUCCCUGCCUUCCCCUCUUAGGCUACGACAUCCAGCAGCCAGAGGGAUUAAGUUGAAAUGGUUUGCUCAUGUUUUGGUGAGUGGCUUGAUCCGAUUUGAUCUGGGUCCUGCCUCUUCCCCUGCCUGCUCAUCAAUCACAUUUCCAUUCCAUCCUUCUGCUCCAGCCACACUGACUUCCUCCUUCCUGUUUCUCAGAUAUAGUCAGCAGGCUCCUGCCUCAGGGCCUUCGCACUUGCUCUACCUUUUGCCAGAGCUUCUCUGUUCAAACAUAGCUUCCUUAGUGAGGCCUUGUCUGAUCACCCUCUAAAACAGAAGUCACCUUUCCCCAUCUCUCUCACACUCUAUCCCCUUCAGUCUACUUUUUCUUCAUAGCCUCAUCACCACUUGAUGUUAUAUAAGACACAGAUGCUUAUAGUCCUAGGAUAUAAGCUACUUGGGGCUUCCCUGGUGCUCAAUAAAUUUUUUAGAAUGAAUGGAUGAAGGUAUGCAUGGAUAAAUAUAGGAUCAGCCCUGUGGUGGGAACAGGUUCAUUAGUCAGUGUGCUUUCCACUAGGAAGAAUGAAUUCUGAUUAACUUUCCAUCUCAAAAAUAAAAUUUCAGGGAGGGGUUUCUGAUGAGUGUAGGUUGACUAACAGGCUCAUAUCUUAGCAAAAGAACAGGAUGCA